rnacentral:rRNA from 1 species
UACGUAGGGGGCAAGCGUUGUCCGGAAUUAUUGGGCCUAAAGCAUCCGUAGCCGGUUCUACAAGUCUUCCGUUAAAUCCACCUGCUUAACAGAUGGGCUGCGGAAGAUACUAUAGAGCUAGGAGGCGGGAGAGGCAAGCGGUACUCGAUGGGUAGGGGUAAAAUCCGUUGAUCCAUUGAAGACCACCAGUGGCGAAGGCGGCUUGCCAGAACGCGCUCGACGGUGAGGGAUGAAAGCUGGGGGAGCAAACCGG